CAGCCGCCGCGGGAAUACGUAGGUGGCAAGCGUUAUCCGGAAUUACUGGGUGUAAAGGGAGCGUAGACGGUUAAACAAGUCUGAAGUGAAAUGCCGGGGCUCAACCCCGGAGCUGCUUUGGGAACUGUAGAACUGGAGUGUCGGAGGGGUAAGCGGAAUUCCCAGUGUAGCGGUGAAAUGCGUAGAUAUUGGGAGGAACACCGGCGGCGAAGGCGGCUUGCUGGACGACAACUGACGUUGAGGCUCGAAGGCGUGGGUAGCAAACAGGAUUAGAUACCCCUGUAGUCCCUGUCUCUUAUAC
rnacentral:rRNA from 1 species